rnacentral:lncRNA from 1 species
UCCUGACCUAUUUAAUCUCAUACUUCAUGUGUUACCUAAAAUUGCAAAAAUUAGCGUUUCAGUAGUAAUUAACAAAAGGCAGCCAAAAUCAUAAUCUUAAUACAAAACAGAAAACAAUGAUAAGGGCCAAAUUUGCUCACCUAAAAUCACUCUUUAAGGUCGCAGUCCCGUUGUCGAGAUGAACUAAAUAAUAAAUUUCAAGCUUGAUGAUAUUGAAAGUUACUCCCAUAUUUCCCUUCAGCUUGAAUACAUUUUAACCAAUAGAUCUUGAAAGACAUCAACAACUGUUGAACCUCGCAAAAGUUUUAGAAACAAAAUCAGGUUUAAAAAUUUAUAAAGUAAAAGGAAACAUUAAAUUAGACACAAUGAGCUGAAAUUUUGCAAGAGAAGGAAUUCAAACCUCACAUAGGCCAUCCAAUAUUAAACUCGGUGAGAUAUAGAAAGGAAAGAGGUAAUUGAGCAAAUUUGAAUUUUGAAUUGAAGAGGGAACAUGUGUGUAUAUAUAAUCAUAAACAAAAAUAAAAACCAAAUAGAACAAAAAGACAAUAGGUGACUAAUGCAUUUAAGUAACAACAAUGUUUUAAAACAUGAGAUUAUUUUGAAAAGUCUUCAAAAUAAUAAACAUGAGAUUUAUUUACUGAAACCAAGAACUAAUAAACUGAAAACAAUACCUAAAGAAAAAAAAUGUGACUAUUGAGAUCUAUCGUUCACUAAGCACUAUUCACUCUCUCAUUCUCUUCUACUUCAUUGUAUUCCUAAGAGAAGAAUAAAGACCCAUAAACACAACAACAAAAGAUGGAAAUAUGAACAUUUUCAUAUCACAAUAAUUUUUUUGGAUGAAUCAGAUAAAAUUCUAAGAAUGAGACUUCUAAGGUUCAUGUUCAAUUAAGUACCUUCCUAAUUUAUAUUAUAAACCAAAUUGUUAUGGCUUGACAUAUUUAAAGGGAUAGUGAACCAACAAAGCCUUCUAAGAAUGAGACACUUAAGGUUCAUGUUCAGUUAAGAAAAAAAAUGGAGUGAAGAGAAGGACUCACCUUGUAAAUCAGAAUGCUAAGGGAAAACAUGGCAAGCCACUCCUUCAUCAUGGCAUUGCUAAUCUUGCUACAUUCUCUCAAUAAUAGUUAAUAGCAACUUUCCAACUUCAUUCUCGUUACUCGCCCUUCAAAAAAAUGAAUGUGUUAAAAAUGUCUGGGAGAGAAAUCCAACAAACAAAUUUAGGAUGGAGAUAAUAUGACAAACACAAUAGAAAGUAAUAGAGAGAGAGGAUAUCAGAUAAUUUUUUAAAAAAAGUAACGAAGAUAAGGAUAAACUGAUUUCUAACAAAAGAUAAAACUCAUACUAUGUAUUCUUUGAUAUCUAAAAAAGUAACGAAGAUAAAACUUAUCUAAACUAAAUUGAUA